CAUUCAACAGAGACAUUGCACAGUCAUGUUUUUAUUGUGUAACUGCAGUGUUAGAGCGAGACUAGUUUGGCAGAGCUUUUAUGUUUAUUGUGUAACYGGGCCAAGUUGUUCAAAGCCCAAUUAGUGCUAUUCCUGGGUUAACUCUUAAUAAGACCUAUAGAGUUAAUCCUGGAUUAACACUAAUCCAGCUAUGAACAACCCGGUCCUGCAGUUUUAGUUCCAGACUAGUUUAGCAGAGUGCCUAUGCGAAUUGUAUGAGAACAAAAAUGUUAAAAAUAUCCAGUGGAGCAUGCUAUCCUCAAACUCAAGGUCAUAGUCAUGCAAUGUCUCAUAUUCAACUAUAUUAGAAAGGUUACUAUGCGUUUGACAUCUUUGAAGAAAUUCAUUGCUUGCAAUAUCACCAGCAUCAGUACAGUUGUGCGACGUUUCCAGGCCAAAAAAAAAAAAGCAGUAAGCUUGCUUUUUUUCUUAUACCUGUUGUUUUUCUUUCCUUAGGUAUAGUAAAAUAAUAAAAUCGCUUAUUGUGAAUGAAAACGCACAGAUUCAUUUGCUCAAGACCCUCAAAGAAUUCUGGGAUACACAUCCAUUGAUGAUAGUCGUUAUCRUCGAAAAGCUGGUCCGGUUACAGAUAGUUGAAUGUUCAGCUGUGGUCAACUGGCUUCUAUCUAAAGAUAUGGCAGAAGAUUUCACAAGGUGUUAUGCUUGGGAAAUCUUGAAAGGAACUUUAAAUAAAAUGAACAAACACGCCAUCAAGGUUCAAAGUGAAGUGAAUGAAGAGAAGGAUCAGCUGGUGAAGAUGGAAGAACGAGCGACACGACAG